rnacentral:lncRNA from 1 species
UCUUUUUGCAUAGAUCUCAAAGUACUUCAUCCUCUAUCAUCCAUCUAUCUACACAGAUCUUAAAAUACUCCAUCCUUUAUCAUUCUUUACCUGCAAAGAUCUCAAAGCACUAUAUGCACUAUCAUUCAUAUGCCUGCAUAGAUCGUAAAGCACUCCAUCUUUUAUGAUUUAUUUACCUGCACAAAUCUCAAAGCACUCCAUUC